GAUGAGAUACAGCGACAACUGGAUGGAGUCAACUCAUUUUAUAGAGUACAUGAGUCUGAAUUGAGUCACCAGCUUCAACACUUAGCGGAACAAGUUGACACUUUCUCUCAAGCUCGUCGUAUCAAAAACUCAAACAGGAAAAGAAAUUCGCUAAUCAAGGCUUUCUGUGAAUUUUACUAUCAUCUCUCUCUCCUUCAAAACUUUCAAAAAUUAAACCACACUGGCUUUAGAAAGAUACUUAAGAAACACGACAAACUUGCAAGUUCAGAUCGUGGCAGCAAAUUUUUCAAAGAAAAUGUCGAGAAAUCAUAUUUUCAUAAAU